rnacentral:misc_RNA from 1 species
AAAGUGCGAUAAUUAGUGCGAUUUGCAUGAAUCUGUGAGUCAUCAAGUAUUUGAACGCAACUUGCGCUCCAUCUGGAGCAUGUCUGUUUGAGUGGUAUAAAUUGAUAAUGCAAUUGUGCGUUAUGCACAUUUGUGAAUUGCUAGUCCAUUGCGUGUCUAGUUAAAUGGAGAUUAUACUUCAGAGGGAAAUGUCUUUCUUUAAAGUUAGAGACGUCAAGUCUUGUUUAAAGGAUCGCCUUCUACCUCCACUACACUACACCCUCAAAUCAGUCAAGACUACCCGCUGAACUUAA